rnacentral:tRNA from 1 species
GGUCCCGUAGCGCAGUCUGGUUAGCGCGCCGCCCUGUCAAGGCGGAGGCCGCGGGUUCAAAUCCCGUCGGGACCG